rnacentral:rRNA from 1 species
UGCGAGUCGAGAGGGUUCGGCCCUCGGCAGACUGCUCAGUAACACGUGGAUAAUCUGCCCUUAGGUGGAGGAUAACCUUGGGAAACUGAGAAUAAUACUCCAUAGAUCUAAGAUGCAGGAAUGCACUUAAAUCAAAAGCUCCGGCGCCUAAGGAUGAGUCUGCGGACUAUCAGGUUGUAGUCAGGGUAAAGGCCUGACUAGCCUACAACGGAUACGGGUUGUGAGAGCAAUAACCCGGAGACGAUAUCUGAGACACGAUAUCGGGCCCUACGGGGCGCAGCAGGCGCGAAACCUUCACAAUGUGCGAAAGCGCGAUGAGGGGAUCCCAAGUGCUUGCACUUAAGUGUAAGCUGUUUCUUUGUUUAAAACGCAGAGAGAGGAAGGGCUGGGUAAGACGGGUGCCAGCCGCCACGGUAAUACCUGCAGCUCAAGUGGUGACCGCUAUUAUUGGGCCUAAAACGUUCGUAGCCGGCUGAGUAAAUGCUUGGGUAAACCGUGCCGCUUAACGGUACGAAUUCCGGGUAGACUGCUCAGCUUGAGACCGGGAGAAGCUAGAGGUACUCCUGGGGUAGAGGUGAAAUUCUGUAAUCCUGGGGGGACCACCAGUGGCGAAGGCGUCUAGCUAGAGCGGGUCUGACGGUGAGGGACGAAACCCUGGGGCGCAAACCGGAUUAGAUACCCGGGUAGUCCAGGGCGCAAACGCUGCUUGCUUGAUGUUAGCUGGGCUCCGGGCUCAGCUAGUGUCGGAGAGAAGUUGUUAAGCAAGCUGCCUGGGAAGUACGAUCGCAAGAUUGAAACUUAAAGGAAUUGGCGGGGGAGCACAGCAACGGGUGGAGCGUGCGGUUUAAUUGGAUUCAACGCCGGGA